UAGUAAAAAUUUCAUUCAUUUUUACUGUUAAAAUUGACAUUGAUGACAAAAUAACCAAACAGUUACACUGCUCGGCCAUAUAUACCUCACUCUAACAUACAAGAACCAAUUUUUAACAGUAGAAAUGAAUAAAAUUUUCUACUA
rfam:Gossypium arboreum cultivar AKA8401 contig_9317_13, whole genome shotgun sequence.